rnacentral:lncRNA from 1 species
CCCACCUAGUGCUGGCUUAGCCGAACCCCAGGAGCCUUGGGACAAAUGAAGAAAAUGACAGGCUAGAAGGAAAUUAAUAGAGCAGAAAAUUUGAAAUGAUGUGGAAAUAAUUCCCCUGGCUUAAGGAGAGCUCCUUGUAUGCUUAAUUUCAGAACACAACUGUUUCCGUGUAGCUAAAUUACAGUAUCAAAGAGAGGGGCCCUGCCUGGAGCUGGUGGGACGCGGGGAUGUUUCCAUGCAUAUGGUGAGAUCUCCCAUCCGGAGCAAGCUCAGACAUGGGGAAAAACAUGUAAAUUCAAAACCUGCGAGAACUGAAAAUUUCAUAAGUGCUGCUGACCCCUCACUGGCAGCUCUGAAUGUGAGAGAAAUAAAGGAAUUGUA